CCGAGUUUACAACUCCCAAACCCAAUGUGAACGUUACCAAACUGUUGCCUCGGCGGGAUCUCUGCCCCGGGUGCGUCGCAGCCCCGGACCAAGGCGCCCGCCGGAGGACCAACCAAAACUCUUAUUGUAUAACCCCCUCGCGGGUUUUUUUAUAAUCUGAGCCUUCUCGGCGCCUCUCGUAGGCGUUUCGAAAAUGAAUUCAA
rnacentral:misc_RNA from 1 species